rnacentral:rRNA from 1 species
CGGCGGACGGCUGAGUAACACGUAGGAACGUACCCCAAAGUGAGGGAUAAGCACCAGAAAUGGUGUCUAAUACCGCAUGUGCUCUUAGGAGUAAAGCUACGGCGCUUUGGGAACGGCCUGCGCAUGAUUAGCUUGUUGGUGAGGUAAUAGCUCACCAAGGCGACGAUCGGUAGCUGGUCUGAGAGGAUGGUCAGCCAGACUGGGACUGAGAACGGCCCAG